CUACGUAUGUCUCAAGCGUUACCCGGAAUCACUGGGUGUAAAGGGUUCGUAGGCGGUUUGAUAAGUUGGAUAUGAAAGACCGGAGCUCAACUCCGUGUUGGUGUUCAAAACUGUCAAACUAGAAUCAGGGAGAGGUAAGCGGAAUUCUAAGUGUAGGGGUGCAAUCCGUAGAUACUUAGAGGAACACCGAAAGCGAAGGCAGCUUACUGGAACUGUAUUGACGCUCAUGAACGAAAGCGUGGGGAGCGAAAAGGAUUAGAAACCCGAGUAGUCC
rnacentral:rRNA from 1 species